GACGAACGCUGGCGGCGUGCUUAACACAUGCAAGUCGAACGGAAAGGCCCUGCUUUUGUGGGGUGCUCGAGUUGCGAACGGGUGAGUAACACGUGAGUAACCUGCCCUUGACUUUGGGAUAACUUCAGGAAACUUGGGCUAAUACCGGAUAGGAGCUCCUGCUGCAUGGUGGGGGCUGGAAAGUUUCGGCGGUUGGGGAUGGAAUCGCGGCUUAUCAGCUUGUUGGUGGGGUAGUGGCGUACCAAGGCUUUGACGGGUAGCCUGGCUGAGAGGGUGAGCGGCCAAGUUGGAACGGAGAUACGGCCCAGACUCCUACGCGAGGGAGCAGUGGGGAAUAGUGCACAAUGGGCGGAAGCCUGAUGCAGCAACGCCGCGUGCGGGAUGACGGCAUUCGGGUUGUAUACCGCUUUCGCCUGUGACGAAGUGUGAAUGACGGUAAUGGGUAAAGAAGCACCGGCUAACUACGUG
rnacentral:rRNA from 1 species